rnacentral:lncRNA from 1 species
AGAAGAAAAGAAUGAGGCCUAGAGAGGUUGAGCCACUUCUAAACACCAAGAGUCAGCAUGACUCUGCCCCAGAGUCUCAGCUCCCUUUCCUUUCCAGUGCUGGGUUAGCAAAACUGGUUUGCAGGUGCCUUACUGCACCAGGAGGCCUCUGCAUCCUAGCGCAACAAAUAUCAAGCUCUUCCUGGCUCCUGCCUACUUUCAGGACUCAGCCCUGCCUCCCUCCUUCCUGCCGCACUUGCUGAGAGGAACACGGUGAACUACUGGAGCACAACACACUGUUUCUCAGGGCCCUUUGUUCACGUUCUCCCUGCAGCACCCUUCUUAACUACACCUGGCUGGCACUCACUCACCUGUCAGGACUCAGGAAGCCAUGCCUCAGUUCGCAGAACUAGCAAGGGGCUUCUUUGGGCUCCUGCCAAGCUUCCAUGAUGCAUUCCUCCAUAGCCCUGAAAUUUGCUCUUUGCUUUUCUUUCUUUUUAUGGAUUUGUGAGAUCCGUGAGAACAAGGUCUAUGCCUCGUUCGUUUUGGAAUCCUCAGCCCCUAGCACAGUGCUUGGCUCAGAAUGGCCCUCAAUAAUGCAGCACUGAAUGACUCUAAACAAACAGCAAGGGUAUACAAUUUGUUUUUGGCAGAAGAGCAGCCAAGGUCCCUCUGCACAAUGGAUCCUCUGUAAGCCAAGCUCUGCUGCUGUGGAUAUCCAGCCUUCUGCAUGAUCCUCUCUUCAGACAAAAAUGGUGCUUGAGCCGGUGCAGCAAGCAUGCCCUUCUGUAUUCCUCUCUUGAGGCUGUUCGCAUUUAAUAUUUGUGCCUAGACGCACCCGUUCCUGCUGGAGGGUUUUAAUAGCCCACUUGACAUUUUCUAUUUUUUGGAUGGUUGUUUCUAUUAAAUUGUUGUAAUGAAACAAAUGAACAUUACUUGUUUUUUUUUCUUUUCUUCUUCAAAAUCUCUUUCUAAAUGGACUGUAUAUCAAGCUUGCAACAGCAGUAGAUUUUUUCCUGAAUGACUGAGCCAGGCAGUGCCUUGAAAGAAACAGCAUUCAAAGUGGGCAUUAGAACCAGG